rnacentral:lncRNA from 1 species
CUCUGCCCUGCGUCACUGCCACCCACUUGCAGGAGACUUUUGUCUGUCCCCAAACCUCUUCUGAGCCUCAAGAGAUCCUGCUGAGAUCUCCAGGCUGAGAUCCUGCUCCAGUGUUAUCCUGGUCACCCAGCCCCAAGCGGCCACCAUCCUGGAGAGCCCUGGUUUCAGUCUGGGCUGACACUGGAUUUCAGUGCAGACAUCAGGCAGCGCAGCUCUUCCCGCGUCAGCUCACACCUGCUUCGCAAAGCUGCUCUUCGUCCAACACACACAGCCUGUUUGCAAGCCCUGUAGAUAUUUUCUUUGAAACAUCAUAAAAAGGUAUUGGAUAUUCUUUCAAGGAUACCCAGGAGAGAGAGCAGAAGGAAAGGCAGCCUACAGUGUGGCUCUGUGGAUAACUGAUUGCUGUGCUCAUUUUGGUCUGACCCAGAACAAAUAUGUUUCAUUUUUCCAAUGAGCUGGUAAAAAAAAAUACAGUCCCCUUAUUUCUAGUUUACUUAGAGCUGUUUUUAUUUUUUUAUUUUUUUUUAUUCUCUUCUUAAUGCAGGGCAAUUUCAGAACAAAAAGCCAAAAUCGAGACUUGAAAAAUCACUUUUCAAGGUUUUCUUAUUCUUGUCAAUACGAUUUUCCUUGUUCAGCCUGAUUUCACAAACCAUUUAGAGUCACCUUGAAACACCUUUUCUUGGCCCUUUCACUGCUCACCAGUCACCCUACCCAGCUGUGGUCCCAGUGCCCUCCAGCCAGGGCACCAGGG